rnacentral:rRNA from 1 species
GCUAGCUACAGGCUUAACACAUGCAAGUCGAGGGGCAGCAUGGUCUUAGCUUGCUAAGACUGAUGGCGACCGGCGCACGGGUGAGUAACACGUAUCCAACCUGCCGUCUACUCUUGGACAGCCUUCUGAAAGGAAGAUUAAUACAAGAUGGCAUCAUGAGUCCGCAUGUUCACAUGAUUAAAGGUAUUCCGGUAGACGAUGGGGAUGCGUUCCAUUAGAUAGUAGGCGGGGUAACGGCCCACCUAGUCUUCGAUGGAUAGGGGUUCUGAGAGGAAGGUCCCCCACAUUGGAACUGAGACACGGUCCAAACUCCUACGGGAGGCAGCAGUGAGGAAUAUUGGUCAAUGGGCGAGAGCCUGAACCAGCCAAGUAGCGUGAAGGAUGACUGCCCUAUGGGUUGUAAACUUCUUUUAUAAAGGAAUAAAGUCGGGUAUGGAUACCCGUUUGCAUGUACUUUAUGAAUAAGGAUCGGCUAACUCCGUGCCAGCAGCCGCGGUAAUACGGAGGAUCCGAGCGUUAUCCGGAUUUAUUGGGUUUAAAGGGAGCGUAGAUGGAUGUUUAAGUCAGUUGUGAAAGUUUGCGGCUCAACCGUAAAAUUGCAGUUGAUACUGGAUAUCUUGAGUGCAGUUGAGGCAGGCAGAAUUCGUGGUGUAGCGGUGAAAUGCUUAGAUAUCACGAAGAACUCCGAUUGCGAAGGCAGCCUGCUAAGCUGCAACUGACAUUGAGGCUCGAAAGUGUGGGUAUCAAACAGGAUUAGAUACCCUGGUAGUCCACACGGUAAACGAUGAAUACUCGCUGUUUGCGAUAUACGGCAAGCGGCCAAGCGAAAGCGUUAAGUAUUCCACCUGGGGAGUACGCCGGCAACGGUGAAACUCAAAGGAAUUGACGGGGGCCCGCACAAGCGGAGGAACAUGUGGUUUAAUUCGAUGAUACGCGAGGAACCUUACCCGGGCUUAAAUUGCAGAUGAAUUACGGUGAAAGCCGUAAGCCGCAAGGCAUCUGUGAAGGUGCUGCAUGGUUGUCGUCAGCUCGUGCCGUGAGGUGUCGGCUUAAGUGCCAUAACGAGCGCAACCCUUGUUGUCAGUUACUAACAGGUUCCGCUGAGGACUCUGACAAGACUGCCAUCGUAAGAUGUGAGGAAGGUGGGGAUGACGUCAAAUCAGCACGGCCCUUACGUCCGGGGCUACACACGUGUUACAAUGGGGGGUACAGAGGGCCGCUACCACGCGAGUGGAUGCCAAUCCCAAAAACCUCUCUCAGUUCGGACUGGAGUCUGCAACCCGACUCCACGAAGCUGGAUUCGCUAGUAAUCGCGCAUCAGCCACGGCGCGGUGAAUACGUUCCCGGGCCUUGUACACACCGCCCGUCAAGCCAUGGGAGCCGGGGGUACCUGAAGUGCGUAACCGCGAGGAGCGCCCUAGGGUAAAACUGGUGACUGGGG